rnacentral:lncRNA from 1 species
UUUGAUUCAAAGCAUCAUCCAAAAUGGCUGACUUCUGCUUAUGUGAAGAGACCAGGUGGCCCAGAAGGAGUACUGGGGGUGCUGAGGCAUUGUGGCCCAUGAAAUGUGGGCAGCAGGGAUGUGCAGCCCUUCCUGUGUCUGACUUCCAGCAAUCUCUGUCUGUUUCCCUGUUCCACACGCUGAAAGCCACAGCACCACAAGAUGGCAGCCAAUAGGGAAGCUGCCCAUGAACUUGCAAGAGGCUGAGUGCAGAAUCACCCUCACUACCCAGAAGAUUUAUAUUUCUACCAAGGAAGAAGCCCUGGAUGUGCUGGAUCUUUACAAAAUUAGGAUAAAGGAAAAUAACAACAGAAAAGAAGUGUUUGUGGUAUCAGUAAUGUGAAAAGAUGCAUAGCAACUAUGUCAAAAUUCUCUGAAUACAUUGAGAAAAUGUUGGGGUGUGCUGGGACCUUCCCGAAG